ACAUCCUCCUCCUCCUCCUCCUCCUCCUCCUCCCUCCACCCCCUCCUCCCCCUCCCGUGGAACUCCUGUCAGCUGAACAGCAGCUUCAAGCGCACCUCGCUCCCCUGCAAUAUCCAGAACUCCCGCGCUGCGUCCUCGGGGCGCGCUCUCUGGGCUAUCUGGGGGAAGGGCUCAAAGAUGUCUAACUCUAAAAAGAAGCAGAGAUUAGGAAUCGCGACCCCCUGAGAACCCUUGGAUUCUGAUCAAAUGCCUGCAGAAGUCCAGCUGCAAGCAGCAGCGCAGCAGCUCGUGUGAUCCCCUCACCUUCGCCUUCCAAUUCGCGGCUCAGGUCCAAACCAUUUUACUGCCACAGCGUGUGCCACGAAUGGCUACCCAGAGGAAACACUUUGUGAAAGAUUUCAAUCCCCAUAUCACCUGUUGUAUCUGUAAAGGAUAUCUUAUCAAACCAACUACAGUAACUGAGUGCCUCCAUACUUUUUGUAAGAGUUGUAUUGUACAGCAUUUUGAAGACAGUAAUGACUGUCCCAGAUGUGGCAAUCAAGUGCAUGAGACCAAUCCAUUAGAAAUGUUACGGCUGGAUAACACAUUAGAAGAAAUUAUAUUUAAGUUGGUUCCAGGACUAAGAGAACAGGAACUGCACCGUGAGGCUGAGUUCUGGAAGAAAAACAAACCUCAAGAAAAUGGAGAAGAAAAUCCAAAAUCUGAAAAUCCCAAAGAUGCUGAAGAUGGAGAUGAAAAUCAAGAAGAUAAAGACUAUCACAGGAGUGACCCACAGAUUGCUAUCUGUCUGGAUUGUUUACGUAACAAUGGGCAGUCUGGGGAUAAUAUUGUAAAAGGACUGAUGAAGAAAUUCAUCCGGUGUUCUACACGAGUGACUGUAGGAACUAUCAAGAAGUUUCUAAGUUUAAAGUUAAAGCUUCCAAGUUCUUACGAGCUGGAUGUACUAUGCAAUGGGGAAAUCAUGGGGAAGGAUCACACUAUGGAAUUUAUCUACAUGACAAGAUGGAGACUACGAGGCGAAAAUAGCCUCAAAAAGUAUAACUGAGUUUCGGUGUCAGAACUGCUCAUCUUCCCAAGUCUGCUCACAGGAUGGCUCUUUUUAUCAGUCUUACCCCAUGGUACUCCAGUAUCGACCCAGAAUUGACUUCGGUUAGACCAAAGGGCCAGAUCCCACUGAGAUUAAUCCUGCACUAUGUUUACCCAUCGACAGAUUGCACAAUGAAUGGAUGUGCCUGGAUUGGGGGGACACAACCAGAAUUUCAGCAUGCAAAUAUGGACUUUUUCUUCAAUUGAUCAACUAUCCCCCUCUCCCCAUCCCUCUCUGUUAGAGUAUGCCAAGUGCCAUUCUGCUACUGAAACAUUCAUAUGAUAUUUGUGGCAUCAAAGACUGCAAGUUGUAGCCAAACGUUAAAUGUAUAGUCAAGAGUCUGAAUCUCUGGAAUACUAGCUUUGCCUGUUAGGAAAUUUCACUGGUCCAUAACAUUGAUUACAUUAGCAGAGGUGGCCACCUGCUCUUUCACAUGUGGUAUUGCAGUUGUUGUUUUUCACGUUUACUAUUUUACUGAAAAUGUUGUUUAAAAGAAGUACUGUAUGAAAGGUUAAAACUAUACCUUUAAAAUAUUUUGUACAUAAUAUAUGUUUUAGAAAUGUGGUUAUUGUGCCACUACCUUUUUCUUGUUCAACUCUUCAUAGGUUCAGAUAUAGCUCACUCAUUAGUAUGCAACAGUCUUUUUGCAGCAUCUGAAAAUUUAGAUUUUGUGUCAGAAGUUAAAUGCAGUCAGUCUGCAUUGCCCUUAAAUGGUAUGUCUCACAGACUCCCUUCAGUAAUGUGUAUGACUUAGAAUUUUGAUUUCAAGACGUAGCAAAUCAGCAUGCAUGCAGCAGGUAAGGUUUUUUUUUCUUUUGAAAAAGUCCAUUACAUAAUUUGUUUAAGUACAAGAAAAAAACGAACUGUCAUGUAAAAGAUGCUCUUACAUUUGAAACUGUUGCUAUUGUAGGCUUCCCUUUGAACUUUUCAUUUUUUCUUACAUAUUAGCAGCAAUUCAGUAAAGAAGUGGGUCAAAAUUGGUGGUCUUAAGUGUGCAGCUGUCAGGACUCUGGGCACAACGAUGCUUCAAUGUUAUAUUAACAUAUUCAGUAAUACACAAGCAUACUUAAAAUGUACCAAUUUGAUGACAUCACAACCACAUUUUAUGGCUAUUUUGAAUCCAGCAGCUGCUGUCAAUCUAGUUGUUACACUGAAACUGAUGUAAAUUUAAUAUGGUUGAUAAGGCUACCUGACCAAAAGUUGUUUUUAUAAGGAGCAGUUGUGUUACAGAAAUGUUGGUGGUUGCCUUCAGUAUCAUACAUGCAUUCCAUCCUGUUAAAAAUGUGUUAUGGACAUCAUUACAGAGUUCAUGAUA